GGGAUUGCCUCAGUAACGGCGAGUGAAGCGGCAACAGCUCAAAUUUGAAAUCUGGCCCCUUUGGGGUCCGAGUUGUAAUUUGUAGAGAGUGCUUCGGGGGAGACCGCGGUCUAAGUCCAUUGGAACAUGGCGUCCCAGAGGGUGAGAAUCCCGUAUGUGACCGCGGCUCGAGCCCAUGUGAAGCCUCUUCGACGAGUCGAGUUGUUUGGGAAUGCAGCUCUAAAUGGGUGGUAAAUUUCAUCUAAAGCUAAAUACUGGCUGGAGACCGAUAGCGCACAAGUAGAGUGAUCGAAAGAUGAAAAGCACUUUGGAAAGAGAGUUAAACAGUACGUGAAAUUGUUGAAAGGGAAGCGCUUGCAACCAGACCUGCCCGUAGGCGAUCAACCGCUGUUCUCAGCGGUGCACUCGUUCUGCGAUCAGGCCAGCAUCGGUUCGGGCGGUCGGAUAAAGGCCUUGGGAAUGUAGCUUCUCUUCGGCGGAGUCUUAUAGCCCUCGGUGCAAUGCGGCCAGCCGGGACCGAGGACCGCGCUUCGGCUAGGAUGCUGGCGUAAUGGUUGUAAGCGACCCGUCUUGAAACACGGACCAAGGAGUCUACCAUCUAUGCGAGUGUUUGGGUGUCAAACCCAUGCGCGGAAUGAAAGUGAACGGAGGUGAGAACCCUUAAGGGCGCAUCAUCGACCGAUCCAGAUGUCUUCGGAUGGAUUUGAGUAUGAGCAUGGCUGGUGGGACCCGAAAGAUGGUGAACUAUGCCUGAAUAGGGUGAAGCCAGAGGAAACUCUGGUGGAGGCUCGCAGCGGUUCUGACGUGCAAAUCGAUCGUCAAAUUUGGGUAUAGGGGCGAAAGACUAAUC
rnacentral:rRNA from 1 species